UAAAAGUCUCAAGCAGUCCUUCUCCACAGCCGACUUCCCUCCAGGCGUUGAGGACCUCUGAUGGAGGGACCUGCUUCUUGCAAAGAAAGAAAGGGGGGAUCCUUGCUCAUGGUUGGUCAGAAAAAUGCAUUGGCACUCCUGUUCUUGAAACAUAGAAGCAAUGGUGCACGUUUUUUUUCCCUUAGAACUCAGGUCUCACCUGCAGAGCUGUGACUAAGGGAUGGGACCCUGGUGCCUGUGGACAUGUGCUGUCUUUGGGCUGUUUCCAGAGAUCCAGCCCCUGGCCUGAGAAUCUCAGUUUUUGCAGAAGUUGGGAAACAUCCUUCAGACCCCUUUUUCUGCUGAAGAAAUUGAGAGAGAGGAUGUGAGAGCUGUGGGCUGGCUGGUCACAUUUCCCAGUUUCUCUCCUGCCAGUCUUCAGAUUGUCAGCAAGAGCAUCCAGAUGACACCUCUGAGACCCCUGGACUGUGUCAAGAGCAGUGAGGAGAGAGGUGUUGUGCUCCGAACCACUCCAAGUGCGUGCUUGAUGCUGUGUUGCAGUCUGAACUGAAAUGCUCUGCCAGAAAUGGCUUUCAGGAUCCAGCAUUGCAACCUCCUUCAAAAUAGCUCUGCCUAUGCUUUCAAAUCACUGUUUUGCUCCAACAUUCUCUCUUCUCAAGAUCUGAUAUCUUCUGAGACCCGCUCUCUGGCUGGACUGCCUGUGACUAAAAACCCAUCCUCCUCCCACACCGUUUUUCCACUACCUGAAACCAACAUCCCUUUGUUGUUACAGGAGGCCCCAUCCUCCAAGUUUAUUUAGUCCUCCAAAAGAAACUGCCUGGGGACAUGGGAUUUGUAAUUUUUGGUUGGGAAAGUGUGCUGGCGGACAUAUGCCUUGGCUUUGAGCUGCUCUAGGAGAGAAUAGUGAGAAGCAGGGAGAGUGGUGACCACUGUGUGCGUAAAAGGAGAUUUUCGUCUUCCUGCCACACACCAGUGGCCAUCUUUGUACUGUCCAGACCAGACAGGAAAUGUGAGGUGUUGUGUUUCAGAGAAUUCUAUUUGUGUAUGGAAAAAAGAGAGGUGUGUGGGUUCAUGUGUGUAUGCAAGUUUGAUUAUGUGCCAGGCAACUAGUGGGCCUAUGGAUUGGUGCAUCUGGAUUGGCUUGGGAGGGCCAGUUGUGUUGGCGGACAAGCCGUGUGAAGUAGGCACAUGUGGG
ensembl:lncRNA